GACGAACGCUGGCGGCAUGCUUAACACAUGCAAGUCGAACGACUUGUUGAGUGCUUGCACUUAACAGGGAGUGGCGGACGGGUGAGUAACACGUGGGAACGUACCUUUCAGUGGGGGAUAACUUUGGGAAACCAAAGCUAAUACCGCAUACGCCCUUAGGGGGAAAGAUUUAUUGCUGAAAGAGCGGCCCGCGGUAGAUUAGGUAGUUGGUGGGGUAAUGGCCUACCAAGCCUUCGAUCUAUAGCUGUUCUGAGAGGAAGAUCAGCCACACUGGGACUGAGACACGGCCCAG
rnacentral:rRNA from 1 species